UACAGAGACCUCAAGCGUUAUCCGGAAUCAUUGGGCGUAAAGCGUACCGAUAGGUGGUUUUACAAGUCAGAAGUGAAAUCUCUCAGCUUAACUGGGAGACUGUCUUUUGAAACUGUAAAACUAGAGGGGCAAAGAGGAAGCUGGAACAAGCGGUGUAGUAGUGAAAUGCGUAGAGAUCAGGAGGAACACCGGUGGCGAAGGCGGCCCACUGGGCAGUCACUGACGCUGAGGCGCGAAAGCUCGGGGAGCGAACGGG
rnacentral:rRNA from 1 species